AAAAAAAAAAAAGAAACAUCAGCACUUUGCCACUGAGUGUACAGGAGUUCGGUGAAGAAUGGCAGUAGUGGUGAGGUUAAGAAUAGUCUCUCUGUCUCAGCCACACACUCAUUUAUUAUACACUUGACAUAAAGGAGCAUGUGACUAUCCCUCCAGGACCCAAAGUUUGCACACAUUACAUUUAUAAUUGUCAGCAUUCCCUAUGAUAUAAGAGAGAGAGACAGAGAGAGAGAGAGAGAGAGAGAGAUUCUCAGAAGCUACUUCAGCCCACAUGCACCUCGCUGAGUGCAUCCAGGGACAUCCUGUAUCUCAAACACCGGUCUGUCUGUCUGAAAAGGCUGUGCCAACAUCGUGCCAAGAGAGAAGCGUGGUCGUGGGGAGCCUGGAUCCAUCCAAGUGGACUCGGGGCAAGAGGCAAGGGACACCCUUGGACGUGGUGCCAACCCAUAGCAGGGAACAAUUGCACACAUUCACACUAACGCCAAUUAGCCUACAGAGCAUGUCUUUGUACUGGGGGAGGAAACUGGAGUACCCGGAGGAAACCCCCGAAGCACCGGGAGAACAUGCAAACCUCUCGGGAUUCAAACCCCAAACCUGGAGGUGCG
ensembl:lncRNA